AACGAACGCUGGCGGCAGGCUUAACACAUGCAAGUCGAGCGCCCCGCAAGGGGAGCGGCAGACGGGUGAGUAACGCGUGGGAAUCUACCCAUCUCUACGGAAUAACGCAUGGAAACGUGUGCUAAUACCGUAUACGUCCUUCUGGAGAAAGAUUUAUAGGAGAUGGAUGAGCCCGCGUUGGAAUAGCUAGUUGGUGGGGUAAAGGCCUACCAAGGCGACGAUCCAUAGCUGGUCUGAGAGGAUGAGCAGUCACACUGGGACUGAGACACGGACCAGACUCCUACGGGAGGCAGCAGUGGGGAAUAUUGGACAAUGGGCGCAAGCCUGAUCCAGCCAUGCCGCGUGAGUGAUGAAGGCCCUAGGGUUGUAAAGCUCUUUCACCGGUGAAGAUAAUGACGGUAACCGGAGAGGAAGCCCCGGCUAACUUCGUGCCAGCCGCCGCGGUAAAAC
rnacentral:rRNA from 1 species